UAGUAUGGGUCUUGACAUGUGA
rnacentral:miRNA from 15 species